rnacentral:pre_miRNA from 1 species
UGGUGAAUGACGAUUGAUGAUUAUAAUGGCGCGCACGUGCUCCGGUAGCUUAGUUGGUUAGAGCGCCG